rnacentral:ncRNA from 2 species
GAAGAAGAGCACGGGAGUCCCGGCGAGCGGGGACUGAGAGUGGGCGCGCCCGCCCUUACCGUCGAACCUGAUCCGGGUCAUGCCGGCGAAGGGAGCAGAGGAUGCCGAUGG